rnacentral:lncRNA from 1 species
GAGAAAUCAGUGCUUUUUCGAGUUUGGAUCCGCGCAGAAAGAAGGAACUUUGGGCUAGCUGAAUCACAACCAGAAAUAGAUGAGUGCUAUGAAGAAAUGCUAGCAGAACUUGCUCAAGAAACAUCUUCACCCGGAAGUGGUGAUGAACAAGCUUCAUUUCCACCACCGCCAACACAACCACCUCUAAACCUUGAAGGUUUUAUGAGAUUUGUUGGAAAUAAUACAUAAAUUAUGAUGUAACUUGUACAUUGGCAUGUCUUCUAUUAGUUUUUUUUUCUUUUAGUGGUGGUAUUAGUACCAUGUUGUGCUCAUUCCAUUGGGGGAAGGAAGACUAAGAAANNN